rnacentral:rRNA from 1 species
UCGACCUGAGCUCAGGCAGGACUACUCGCUGAACUUAAGCAUAUCAAUUGGCGAAGGAAAAGAAACUAACCAGGAUUCCCCUAGUAGCGGCGAGCGAACCGGGAAAAGCCCAACUUGAAAAUCUCCGGCUCUCAGCCGGCGAAUUGUAGUCUAUAGAAGCGAUCCCUGUGGCGAUCCGAGCCCAAGUGCCCUGAGAGGGGACGUCAGAGAGGGUGAGAACCCCGUCGGCUCGGCCUUUGUCACUCCACGGGACGUUCUCGCAGAGUCGGGUUGUUUGGGAAUGCAGCCCAAAGCAGGUGGUAAAUCCCAUCUAAGGCUAAAUACUGACGGGAGACCGAUAGCGAACAAGUACCGUGAGGGAAAGAUGAAAAGAACUUUGAAAAGAGAGUUAAAAGUACUUGAAAUUGUUGAGGGGGAAGAGAUUGGAGGCUGCGGGUGCGCCCAGGCUUAUGUGGGUUUGACGACCCUCCGUAUGCGCUGGGUGCUGGUCAGCAUGGGUUGGUCGGGUGGGAUAAAAGUGGCAGUUGUUAU